AGAGUUUGAUCCUGGUUCAGAUUGAACGCUGGCGGCAGGCCUAACACAUGCAAGUCGAACGGUAGCACAGAGGAGCUUGCUCCUUGGGUGACGAGUGGCGGACGGGUGAGUAAUGUCUGGGAAACUGCCCGAUGGAGGGGGAUAACUACUGGAAACGGUAGCUAAUACCGCAUAACGUCGCAAGACCAAAGAGGGGGACCUUCGGGCCUCUUGCCAUCGGAUGUGCCCAGAUGGGAUUAGCUAGUAGGUGGGGUAACGGCUCACCUAGGCGACGAUCCCUAGCUGGUCUGAGAGGAUGACCAGCCACACUGGAACUGAGACACGGUCCAGACUCUUACGGGAGGCAGCAGUGGGGAAUAUUGCACAAUGGGCGCAAGCCUGAUGCAGCCAUGCCGCGUGUAUGAAGAAGGCCUUCGGGUUGUAAAGUACUUUCAGCGAGGAGGAAGGUGUUGUGGUUAAUAACCGCAGCAAUUGACGUUACUCGCAGAAGAAGCACCGGCUAACUCCGUGCCAGCAGCCGCGGUAAUAC
rnacentral:rRNA from 1 species